CCUGUACACCAGACUCCACCUCAUUAGGUCCUGUCUGCGCACAUUUUAACCACAUCUCUCUCUCCUCUUCUCUUGCUUGCAUCUCUUUUGCUUUAUUGAUUCCCACCACUGUGGGAGCGUACCAUUAUCUCUUGACUUCAGUUAAUUUCCCAGCCCCAGUGGCAUUCUUAUUCCUCCUGAUGACAGUGAAGAGUCAUGCAGCUUACCUACAACCCCUGACCAGGCAUCUCCAUUCAGAGCAAGACAUCAGAGAAUCCGGCUGCAGCCAGGGCCAGCUCAGAAGACCAGGAUUCCACAGGCCUGUGUUUGGCAGGGCCCUCAGGGCCGGCAGAGUGCUUAGCAAGGAGCCAGGAGGACAUGGCACUUCAGCUGGGCAACGGCAGGACAGACGCUGUGCCUUAUGGUGGGGGAUACAGUGGGGGAGCAGCCAGUCAGAGCCAGCCCCUGGGGAAGCCAGAGCAGGAGCUGAGGGCAGCAGCUGUGCCUACUGCCUCCCCACCCUGGGGCUGAACAACGAGGCUUCCCUCCCCUCUGCUCAGCACUUCCUGGGAGAACCAGGCAUGGG
rnacentral:lncRNA from 1 species